rnacentral:rRNA from 1 species
CUACGGGAGGCUGCAGUGGGGGAUAUUGCACAAUGGGGGGAACCCUGAUGCAGCAACGCCGCGUGGAGGAUGACGCAUUUCGGUGUGUAAACUCCUUUUAUAUGUCAAGAAAAUGACGGUAGCAUAUGAAUAAGCACCGGCUAACUGCCGUGCCAGCAGCCGCGGUAAUACGGAGGGUGCAAGCGUUACUCGGAAUCACUGGGCGUAAAGGACGCGUAGGCGGGUUGGAAAGUCAGGUGUGAAAUCCUACAGCUUAACUGUAGAACUGCACUUGAAACUUCUAAUCUAGAGUAUGGGAGGGGGAGAUGGAAUUAGUGGUGUAGGGGUAAAAUCCGUAGAUAUCACUAGGAAUACCUAAAGCGAAGGCGAUCUCCUGGAACAUUACUGACGCUAAGGCGUGAAAGCGUGGGGAGCAAACAGGAUUAGAUACCCGUGUAGUC